AAUCUGUCUUCACACUUAAUACCUUCAAUUCUAUCCAAAUGAACACAAAAGAUGGAAUGAUUUUUGUGCUUUAACAGAAUUGAGUUCUGAAACACUAAUGUUAUGAUAAAGUAGCAAGUCUUUUUCAUAAAAGAUUAAACUUCAAGUUUAUCAUAUCCAAAUUUUAUCUAUAACAGAAAUUUUACUUCCUUAAAUGAGAGAGAGUUUAGUAUACACCAAUGAAGUGUCAUGAUCCAAAAAUCCCUCCUUGUAACAUGGAAGCCGUUUUUUAAAUCGCGAUGAACUGAUCAUAGUUUACAUCUCAUUGACUGCCAUAUGGUGAUGAAUUGUAAUUGCCAUAUCCAGGUGUUGUAUUAUUGUUCUGCAUUGACGGAGGUGGUGGUCUUGGUCUUGCGUACUCGGCAAAGAUAACCCAUCCAUCAAGAAACUGGCCAUCCAUGCCCUUUAUACCAGCUUCAGCAUCUUCCAAUGUCGCAUAUCUAACAAACCCAAAACCUUUAGAAUAACCAGAUACUCGAUCAGUCACAACUCUGGCAUGGACCACUUCGCCAUGUUUUACAAAGGCUUCUCGAAGCCCUUCUGAGGUAGUACGUUUGCUAAGCCCAGAAACGAAGAGAUUGGUGGAUGGUUCAGCUGGUGGCGGCUUCUCAACUUGCUUCGAGGGUGUAUUAAACGGAAAGCUUGGGGAAAAGGUAGAUAACAGGGCACGUAAACCUCUCGUUGCCGGUGCCGCCGCCUUCGCCGCUCGCAAGGCCAUAAUGGGUUUAAUUUCUUAGACUUUGGGGUUUUACAGAGAUUUCUAGAAGCGUCAAGACUUUAU
rnacentral:misc_RNA from 1 species